rnacentral:lncRNA from 1 species
AAGAUAUAGGCUUUUGUAGCAACAGAUUUGAUUCCAACACAAAAUUUCACAUUUGCAAAACAAAGAAGGAUAAUAAUGUAAUCACAUAGCCACUCUAUUACAUCUCAAAAAUAAGCUCAUGUUUCCCAACAAGAAGUAAAUUUGCUAAAUUCAGAAAUGCUGGAGUCAGUUUCUUUUGCAACAAAAUUUUGAAAUCUCAG